ACUAAAUAAGUUAAAACUUUCAACAACGGAUCUCUUGGUUCGGGCAUCGAUGAAGAACGCAGCGAAAUGCGAUAAGUAAUGUGAAUUGCAGAAUUCAGUGAAUCAUCGAAUCUUUGAACGCAUAUUGCGCCCAUUAGUAUUCUAGUGGGCAGGACCGUUCGAGCGUCAUUUCGACCCUUAAGCUUUGGUUGCUUAGUGUUGGGAGCCUACGGCAACGUAGCUCCUCAAAGUUAGUGGCGGAGUUGGUUCACACUCUAGACGUAGUAGAUUUUUAUCUCGCCUAUCAGUUGGACCGGUCCCCUGCCGUAAAACCCCCCAACUUCUUAAAGUUGACCUCGAAUCGGUUCAGACAAACUCGCUAAAUUGAAGCAUCUUAGUCAGCGAAGGAAAAGAAACCAACAGGGAUUGCCCUAGUAACGGCGAGUGAAGCGGCAACAGCUCAAAUUUGAAAUCUGGCCCUCGGGUCCGAGUUGUAAUUUGUAGAGGAUGCUUUUGGCGCGGUGCCUUCCGAGUUCCCUGGAACGGGACGCCUUAGAGGGUGAGAGCCCCGUACGGUUGGACACCAAGCCUCUGUAAAGCUCCUUCGACGAGUCGAGUAGCUUGGGAAUGCUGCUCUAAAUGGGAGGUAAAUUUCUUCUAAAGCUAAAUAUUGGCCAGAGACCGAUAGCGCACAAGUAGAGUGAUCGAAAGAUGAAAAGCACUUUGAAAAGAGGGUUAAACAGCACGUGAAAUUGUUGAAAGGGAAGCGUUUGCGACCAGACCUUUUCCUAGCGGAUCAUCCGGUGUUCUCACCGGUGCACUUCGCUAGGUUUAGGCCAGCAUCGGUUUCUGUAGGGGGAUAAAAGCUCUGGGAACGUAGCUCCUCCGGGAGUGUUAUAGCCCUCUGCAUAAUACCCUUACGGGGACCGAGGACCGCGCUCGGCAAGGAU
rnacentral:rRNA from 1 species